UACGUAGGGGGCAAGCGUUGUCCGGAUUUAUUGGGCGUAAAGAGCGUGUAGGCGGCCAUACAGGUCAGCUGUGAAAACUCGAGGCUCAACCUCGAGACGUCGGUUGAAACCGUUUGGCUAGAGUCCGGGAAGAGGAGAGUGGAAUUCCUGGUGUAGCGGUGAAAUGCGCAGAUAUCAGGAAGAACACCCGUGGCGAAGGCGGCUCUCUGGAACGCAACUGACGCUGAGACGCGAAAACGUGGGGGAGCAAACA
rnacentral:rRNA from 1 species